rnacentral:rRNA from 1 species
AACGAACGCUGGCGGCAGGCCUAACACAUGCAAGUCGAGCGCUCACCUUCGGGUGGGAGCGGCGCACGGGUGAGUAACACGUGGGAACCUACCUUGAAGUACGGAAUAACUGAGGGAAACUUCAGCUAAUACCGUAUACGCCCUACGGGGGAAAGAUUUAUCGCUUCAAGACGGGCCCGCGUUGGAUUAGCUAGUUGGUGAGGUAAUGGCUCACCAAGGCAACGAUCCAUAGCUGAUUUGAGAGAAUGAUCAGCCACACUGGGACUGAGACACGGCCCAGACUCCUACGGGAGGCAGCAGUGGGGAAUAUUGGACAAUGGGCGCAAGCCUGAUCCAGCCAUGCCGCGUGAGUGAUGAAGGUCUUAGGAUUGUAAAGCUCUUUCAGCUGGGAAGAUAAUGACGGUACCAGCAGAAGAAGCCCCGGCUAACUCCGUGCCAGCAGCCGCCGUAAAAC